rnacentral:rRNA from 1 species
UACGUAGGGUGCAAGCGUUGUCCGGAAUUAUUGGGCGUAAAGAGCUUGUAGGCGGUUUGUCGCGUCUGCUGUGAAAUUUCGGGGCUCAACCCCGAACUUGCAGUGGGUACGGGCAGACUAGAGUGUGGUAGGGGAGACUGGAAUUCCUGGUGUAGCGGUGAAAUGCGCAGAUAUCUGGAGGAACACCGGUGGCGAAGGCGGGUCUCUGGGUAGUAACUGACGCUGAGGAACGAAAGCGUGGGUAGCGAACAGG